rnacentral:ncRNA from 1 species
CUUAUUUAGAGAGGUGGAGGGACUGGCCCUUUGAAACCCGGCAACCAGCAUAUCAAAUAUGCAAUGGUGCUAAAUCCUGCAGCAUAAAGCUGAUAGAUAAG